rnacentral:sRNA from 1 species
UAUUAGCCCCGAUAGAAAUGAAAAUCCUUGUGAGGGCUAGUGUUUAGCCCUCAGAAGGAUUGUAUUGUAUAGCGGGAGAUGAC